AAUCUCCGUUGACUUAUAGAACAUUGUAAGUACUAUUUUGUUGGUAUUACUAAACCGACAGCUUUUGCUUCCUAGAAACAUACACAGUAACUAUACCGUGGGGUUAGGUCUUAAUGGAGCAUUUUACCUCCAUGGUCUAAACGAGCACCUUUGGUCAGUCCACCUAGACCAUUUACGGAGAAGUAACGAGCAUGACCACAGAUACUUCAAACCACAGACUAAACUUUGCCUUAGGUUAAAACAACAAAAUUAUUUUCCACAAAAUUGAUUGACGAUUUAUUCUCGGCAAAAGCGCAUCAAAUGCAUAGGGAUCGUUUUCCUGAAUCAGAGAUACGAGAGUUGGAAGCAACAGUUCCUAUUAGGAAGUAAUAUAACACCCGAAGGAAGUGGUUCAAGAGAAAGCGGAAAUAAUGUAGGUUAUAAAUCAGAACAGCUGUGAGCUUUCAUAAAUAUGAAAUGUUUAAACGUAAAGUGCUUUUCAAGUUGAAAAUUUUAUGGAGAAAUUACCGCAAAUGUAUAAAAAAAAUUACUUUCAAAGUAUAAAAGAAAAUUGAAAUUAAUUUUAAAAAAAAGCAGGAAAUUAUAUAUUUUUUUUAAAUAGUUUAUAAACACAUUUUUUUUUGAGAAUAAGUUUGUGAAAAUUAUGUCACUUGAUAUCAAGAAAUCGGUAAAACCGGAUAUUGACUGAGACAAACUACUAUACUACUGACUAUAAAGAGAAACAUCGAUCACCAAGAGAGAACUAUAGUGAUUGAAUUCAAGAACGACUUUGUAUUCCGUUCCACAUCAGAAAACAAGAAGAAACAGAAAAUCAAAAUAAAUAAGAGAAACAAUUCUCAGGAAGUGAAAAAUUUGAAAAAAAAAAAUUGAAAAAUUUCUUUCUGUUUUUUUUUUUUAGAAAAGAAGAGAAAUGGAGGACGAGAAUCACAUUUCAACUUCAGUUUCUCGUGAUUUUAUACUACAUCUGUAUUUGAUUUACGGAAUUCUCAACUUACUUGUUUUACUUUUCGAUUAUUUUUUAUGGAGGAUUAAAUUAUUGUUUAAAAUGAAGUUCAGAGAAAAAUGGAGAAUUCAAUCAGGCAAAAGGAUAACAAUUUAUUUCAACUUUUUCCAAUUUUCUUUUUUUUAAUAUUGUUUAAU